rnacentral:rRNA from 1 species
AGUGAACGCUGGCGGCGUGCCUAAUACAUGCAAGUCGAACGGCGUGGCGCACGGGUGAGUAAUAUAUAGCUAAUCUGCCCCUUGAUGGAGGACAACAGUUAGAAAUGACUGCUAAUACUCGCUAGGGAGGGAUGAGACUCUAUCGUAUCAGCUAGUCGGUGGGGUAACGGCCUACCGAGGCGAUGCUGCGUAACUGGUGUGAGAGGAUGAUCAGUCACAUUGGAACUGAGACACGGGGCAAACACCUACGGGAGGCAGCAGUAGGGAAUAUUGCGCAAUGGGGGAAACUCUGACGCAGCAACGCCUCGUGAAGGAUGACACGUUUCGGGGCGGAAACUCCUGUUGUUAGGGAAGCGGUACCUAACGAAUAAGCACCGGCUAACUCCGUGCCAGCCGCCGCGGUAAUAC